rnacentral:rRNA from 1 species
GACGAACGCUGGCGGCGUGCUUAACACAUGCAAGUCGAACGGAAAGGCCCUGCUUUUGUGGGGUGCUCGAGUGGCGAACGGGUGAGUAACACGUGAGUAACCUUCCCUUGACUUUGGGAUAACUUCAGGAAACUGGGGCUAAUACCGGAUAGGAGCUCCUGCUGCAUGGUGGGGGUUGGAAAGUUUCGGCGGUUGGGGAUGGACUCGCGGCUUAUCAGCUUGUUGGUGGGGUAGUGGCUUACCAAGGCUUUGACGGGUAGCCGGCCUGAGAGGGUGACCGGCCACAUUGGGACAGAGAUACGGCCCAGACUCCUACGGGAGGCAGCAGUGGGGAAUAUUGCACAAUGGGCGGAAGCCUGAUGCAGCAACGCCGCGUGCGGGAUGACGGCCUUCGGGUUGUAAACCGCUUUCGCCUGUGACGAAGCGUGAGUGACGGUAAUGUGUAAAGAAGCACCGGCUAACUACGUG